UGGAUCUAUCUCCUCUUCUUGAGAGAGAGAAAAAAGAAGUUUUUAGAGCCCCAAGACAAUAUCUGAGAAGCCUCUUGUGAGCAAAACCAUUACAUCCAGGUUCCUUCCAUGAUGCAAAGACUCAGACAGGAUCUGCACUCAGAAGUUGUGGGAGGAGCCUAAAGAGGCCCAUCCUCUGCCCGGGGAAUUAAUUAGGACAGUUUACAAACCGAAGAGUUGAGUGAAUCCAAAUACUCUGAGAUCGAAAGAGACCAUGUCAAACUCUCAGAAGGAGGACAACCCUACUACUUCCCGGAUGGACUGCUUGGUCUUCAUGAAUGGUGUUGAGAGUAACGUGAACUUUGAGGUCAAAAAGAGCUGCAUUCAAUCUGAGCUGAACCAUUUACCAGCUGUGUGGUCUGACAUGCCAUUUCGUUCAUCCGAGCCUCCCUGUUGAGGUGUGCAUGGCCAGGAUACGCUGAGGCCUGUCACAGGGAGAGAUUGGGAUGAGUCUAUAAGACCACAGAAGUCAUAUACGUGGCCCCCUUCUUAGGUCAAGCAGCCAUUUUGUGAAUGUUGACCAAGAGGAAGAUGUUUGCAGAGGAGGGUGGAAGGAACCCAGUUGGGCCACUACACAAUUAGAAAGCUGGUUUAAAAACAACAACAAGGGUGUGAGCUGGUUCUGAGCAGGCGUAUGCACCUGGAGGCUGGCCGGGACCUGGGAGCCUGCUCUAGCAGCUUUGCGCUGUCCCACCUCCCAGCAUCCUCCUUUCCAGGUGCCGAGCUGCACAGCAUGCCAGCUUUGCGGACCCUCCUCUUUGUCUCCCCAUUGCCACUCUGUUCCCCUCCAAUCUGUUCUCACAUAUAUCUCAAGAAUCUCAAUCUGGACCUGUCUUUUCCUUGCCAGCUUCCAUCUGUAGGGGCAACAGAGCCUUCGGCUUCUUCCCUAGGGACACGUCUGAAGUGAUUUACCAAAUACAUCAUCCUGUACUUGUAUAUGCAAAGUCUACAUAUGUCCUUCUGUUGGGAGCUUCCGUCAAGGCAACGUGCAGGAUUGGAAAUUGCUUAUGGUCCAGACUCUAGAAGAUGAAUCUGCCAGAGUUACAUGUUUUACAUGCAAACAGAAGCAUGAAGUUGACAGGGCUGGGUGGUCACUGGAAAAAGAGCAGCCCUGUGCACUUCAAGGGUUCUGGUGAGAGAUUUUCCUAAGCUAAUAAACCAGUCCCUUUGAUUUAAGUCCCAUCGCACAAUGUAAUAUCCCCAAGGUGACAUAAACAUUAGUCACUGUUGGUCCUUUGUCUCAUGCAAAUGGCCGUGAAAGGCAGGAAUCCCACACAACUUAUAGUCUGCCACCUUCUUUUUGAAGGAAGGGUCUCAUGAGUCCCAGGCUAGUCUCAAACUUGCUGUUACUAAGGAUAAGGAGUUUGUAGUCCUCCUAACUGUGCCUCCUUCCCAGCUAACUGCUAGGAUCACAAGUGAGCACUAUCCUGCGCGUUCUUCUGUCUGGUUUUGUGCAUGACUUUGUGGGAUAUGCUGAGAAUCAAACCUAAGGUACUGUGCAUGUUAAGCCAACAUUCUCCCAACACCCACAUCCCCAGCCCCUGUCAUCUCUCUUAAUGGCUGUCUAGACCAUCAGUGACCUCCCUACUGGCAACAUUAAAGGAUGUUCUGUGUUUUCAUCA